UAGGGAAUCUUCCGCAAUGGACGCAAGUCUGACGGAGCAACGCCGCGUGAGUGAAGAAGGAUUUCGGUUCGUAAAACUCUGUUGUUAGAGAAGAACAGCGCAUAGAGUAACUGUUAUGCGUGUGACGGUAUCUAACCAGAAAGCCACGGCUAACUACGUGCCAGCAGCCGCGGUAAUACGUAGGUGGCAAGCGUUGUCCGGAUUUAUUGGGCGUAAAGCGAGCGCAGGCGGUCAAUUAAGUCUGAUGUGAAAGCCCCCGGCUCAACCGGGGAGGGUCAUUGGAAACUGGUUGACUUGAGUGCAGAAGAGGAGAGUGGAAUUCCAUUUGUAACGGUGAAAUGCGUAGAUAUAUGGAGGAACACCGGUGGCGAAAGCGGCUCUCUGGUCUGUAACUGACGCUGAGGCUCGAAAGCGUGGGGAGCGAACAGG
rnacentral:rRNA from 1 species